rnacentral:rRNA from 1 species
GAUGAACGCUGGCGGCGUGCCUAACACAUGCAAGUCGAACGGAGUCGUUUUGGAAAAUCCUUCGGGAUUGGAAUUCUCGACUUAGUGGCGGACGGGUGAGUAACGCGUGAGCAAUCUGCCUUUAAGAGGGGGAUAACAGUCGGAAACGGCUGCUAAUACCGCAUAAAGCAUCAAAUUCGCAUGUUUUUGAUGCCAAAGGAGCAAUCCGCUUUUAGAUGAGCUCGCGUCUGAUUAGCUAGUUGGCGGGGUAACGGCCCACCAAGGCGACGAUCAGUAGCCGGACUGAGAGGUUGAACGGCCACAUUGGGACUGGGACACGGCCCAGACUCCUACGGGAGGCAGCAGUGGGGAAUAUUGCGCAAUGGGGGAAACCCUGACGCAGCAACGCCGCGUGAUUGAAGAAGGCCUUCGGGUUGUAAAGAUCUUUAAUCAGGGACGAAACAAAUGACGGUACCUGAAGAAUAAGCUCCGGCUAACUACGUGCCAGCCGCCGCCGUAAGAC